CGACACUCCUGCGGGAGGCAGCAGUGGGGAAUUUUGGACAAUGGGCGAAAGCCUGAUCCAGCAAUGCCGCGUGAGUGAAGAAGGCCUUCGGGUUGUAAAGCUCUUUUGUCAGGGAAGAAACGGUGAAAGCUAAUAUCUUUUGCUAAUGACGGUACCUGAAGAAUAAGCACCGGCUAACUACGUGCCAGCAGCCGCGGUAAUACGUAGGGUGCAAGCGUUACUCGGAAUUACUGGGCGUAAAGCGUGCGCAGGCGGUUUUGUAAGUCUGAUGUGAAAUCCCCGGGCUCAACCUGGGAAUUGCAUUGGAGACUGCAAGGCUAGAAUCUGGCAGAGGGGGGUAGAAUUCCACGUGUAGCAGUGAAAUGCGUAGAUAUGUGGAGGAACACCGAUGGCGAAGGCAGCCCCCUGGGUCAAGAUUGACGCUCAGGCACGAAAGCGUGGGGAGCAAACAGGAUUAGAUACCCGGGUAGUCCC
rnacentral:rRNA from 1 species